GAUGAACGCUAGCUACAGGCUUAACACAUGCAAGUCGCGGGGCAGCAUGGGGGUUGCUUGCAAUCCCCGAUGGCGACCGGCGCACGGGUGAGUAACGCGUAUCCAACCUGCCCUUCACCACGGGAUAACCCGGCGAAAGUCGGACUAAUACCGUAUGUUGUCCAUUGACGGCAUCCGAUUUGGACGAAAGGUUUGGCGGUGAAGGAUGGGGAUGCGUCCGAUUGGCUGGACGGCGGGGUGACGGCCCACCGUGGCGACGAUCGGUAGGGGUUCUGAGAGGAAGGGCCCCCACACUGGAACUGAGACACGGUCCAGACUCCUACGGGAGGCAGCAGUGAGGAAUAGUGGUCAAUGGGCGUAAGCCUGAACCAGCCAAGUAGCGUGCAGGAUGACGGCCCUAUGGGUUGUAAACUGCUUUUAUGCGGGGAUAAAGUGGCCCACGUGUGGGUUUUUGCAGGUACCGCAUGAAUAAGGACCGGCUAAUUCCGUG
rnacentral:rRNA from 1 species